rnacentral:tRNA from 3 species
GGUCGGUUGGCCGAGUGGUUAGGCUCAGGACUGCAAAUCCUGCCACGCCGGUUCGAUUCCGGCACCGACCUCCA